ACGGGUGCGUAACGCGUGGGAAACUGCCCCUUGGUUCGGAAUAACAGUUGGAAACGACUGCYWAUACCGGAUGAUGACGUAAGUCCAAAGAUUUAUCGCCGAGGGAUGAGCCCGCGUAGGAUUAGGUAGUUGGUGUGGUAAAGGCSCACCAAGCCGACRAUCCUUAGCUGGUCUGAGAGGAUGAUCAGCCACACUGGGACUGAGACACGGCCCAGACUCCUACGGGAGGCAGCAGUGGGGAAUAUUGGACAAUGGGCGAAAGCCUGAUCCAGCAAUGCCGCGUGAGUGAUGAAGGCCUUAGGGUUGUAAAGCUCUUUUACCCGGGAUGAUAAUGACAGUACCGGGAGAAUAAGCUCCGGCUAACUCCGUGCCAGCAGCCGCGGUAAUACGGAGGGAGCUAG
rnacentral:rRNA from 1 species